CUCGACCCAAGCCACUAAGUGACU
rnacentral:siRNA from 1 species